rnacentral:rRNA from 1 species
CCUACGGGAGGCAGCAGUGAGGAAUAUUGGUCAAUGGACGAGCGUCUGAACCAGCCAAGUAGCGUGAAGGAUGACUGCCCUAUGGGUUGUAAACUUCUUUUAUAAAGGAAUAAAACGAGGCACGUGUGCCUUUUUGCAUGUACUUUAUGAAUAAGGAUCGGCUAACUCCGUGCCAGCAGCCGCGGUAAUACGGAGGAUCCGAGCGUUAUCCGGAUUUAUUGGGUUUAAAGGGAGCGUAGAUGUGUUGUUAAGUUAGUUGUGAAAGUUUGCGGCUCAACCGUAAAAUUGCAAUUGAUACUGGCAGGCUUGAGUACAGACGAGGUAGGCGGAAUGAGUGGUGUAGCGGUGAAAUGCUUAGAUAUGACGAAGAACCCCGAUUGCGAAGGCAGCUUACUAAACUGUGACUGACAUUGAUGCACGAAAGUGUGGGUAUCAAACAGGAUUAGAUACCCGUGUAGUC